CUCUCAUCGAGAUGGGCAGAGGGACUGGCCCGACGAAGCCCGGCAACCCCAUUAUUUGGAAGGUGCCAAAUCCUGCAGGUUCGGCCUGAUAGAUGAGUU
rnacentral:ncRNA from 20 species